AUUGAACGCUGGCGGCAGGCCUAACACAUGCAAGUCGAGCGGGAACUUCGGUUCUAGCGGCGGACGGGUGAGUAAUGCGUAGGAGGCUACCCGACAGAGGGGGAUACCAGUUGGAAACGACUGUUAAUACCGCAUAAUGUCUACGGACCAAAGUGUGGGACCUUCGGGCCACAUGCUGUCGGAUGCGCCUACGUGGGAUUAGCUAGUUGGUCAGGUAACGGCUCACCAAGGCGACGAUCCCUUGCUGGUUUGAGAGGAUGAUCAGCCACACUGGAACUGAGACACGGUCCAGACUCCUACGGGAGGCAGCGGUGGGGGAGAUUGGACAAUGGGCGAAAGCCUGAUCCAGCCAUGCCGCGUGUGUGAAGAAGGCCUUCGGGUUGUAAAGCACUUUCAGUAGGGAGGAAGAGUUGAGUGUUAAUAGUACUCAGCUUUGACGUUACCUACAGAAGAAGCACCGGCUAACUCUGUGCCAGCCGCCGCGGUAACAC
rnacentral:rRNA from 1 species